AUUGCUUCCAAAUCCAAGGAACAGGCACCUCGGAUCACUGUGCUGUGAGGGCAGGAGGAUCCUUCUUUUGGAAAGCGGAAAACAGGACUACCUGAUCUAUCGGUGUCCCAUGGAACCACACUGCCCCCUGCGGUCAGAACCACCCGGGAUGCAGAACAGCAAGGACCGCAAACUUGGGUGCAGAGGGCUUUCCUCCACGCAACCCAGGAAGCUCCGUGAUUGGCAAACUGCUCUGUCAGGAUCCAUCGAAUCAGCAAACAUAGGUGCCUGUAGGAUGCAAACCAGGAAACAGGACUGUUAUGUGGCUUGCUGGUAGCCAAGCAAAAUGCUCCGAUCCAUUAGGCUGGUGAGAGGCAGCUGAAUGAGACCCAGCCUCGUGUUUUGUGGGAUGAAGAGAUGCGGACAAAGUGACUCAGGACCAGAAGGCCCCCUCAGUGCCAUCUGAGGACACCGCGGUAGUGCCUAUUAAGUAACACCCAGACAAGGCGUGGCCCUUCAACCGUCUUAUGAAAUGAGAAACCACCACACCGGCCACGAGGCCAUUCACAUACACAUGUGCAGGGUGGAUGAG
rnacentral:antisense_RNA from 1 species